UACGUAGGUGGCAAGCGUUAUCCGGAUUUAUUGGGCGUAAAGGGAACGCAGGCGGUCUUUUAAGUCUGAUGUGAAAGCCUUCGGCUUAACCGGAGUAGUGCAUUGGAAACUGGGAGACUUGAGUGCAGAAGAGGAGAGUGGAACUCCAUGUGUAGCGGUGAAAUGCGUAGAUAUAUGGAAGAACACCAGUGGCGAAAGCGGCUCUCUGGUCUGUAACUGACGCUGAGGCACGAAAGUGUGGGGAGCAAACAGG
rnacentral:rRNA from 1 species